UAGAUUGGACUGUAACAACCACGCACAGAUAUAGUUUCUCUUUAAGAGAGUACAACUACAAGCAAUGUUAGCAACAAGCUAACCCCAACAUUUGUUACUGGCAGCCAUUUGUCAACAGCUGCCAUCACUUACUUAAAAGAAAAGUAUGCUAUCACCAGUUAACAUUAGACAUCAUCCUUGCUGCCCCAGAACCGUAAGGUAUGCUUAUGUUCUGUUGUGGUCGGUUUGGCUGAUAAUAAACACCCCAACUUCCCUGUUUCUGUUUACCUCUGCUGCAGAAGUGAAGGGAGUUAGCCCCCGAGCUAAUGUUAGCUUCGGCCCUGGAGCAGAUUGCUAAGUCUCCUCGGUGCAUUCUAACUGCGGCCGAGGCUCCGAAGCAGGUACGAAGUGGGGCUUCAAGAUACGAGCUACCCCAAAUACGAGAUACGGAAAGCAGACGGGGAGCUCCAAAGCAAACCUCCAUCUCGGGAAGGGCUGAAGAUCAAAAGGAGCUAUAGGAGGAGGAGGAGGAGGAGAAUAGAUGGGUAAACAUGUAAAGAACAGUGCACAAACGAGGUGAAGCAAAGGAUGCAGACAUUGGGAAUGGAUGGGAAGGGAACGUGGGGGGUUUCGUAACAGAGAGCAUUUUUAAUAGAGAAAAAUGGUAGCAAUGUUGAAAGAUCACGUUUGUUUGACAGUAGUGAGAUCUGCUAUGAUGUAUGGUUCAGAGACUUAAUAGACAAAAGACUAAGUUGGAGGUGGCAGAGCUGAAUAUGUUUAGAUCUUCACUGGGAGUGAAACAGGAUGGGAAGGAUUAGAAAUGAGCAGAUCAGAGGGACAGUACCACGUACAGAGAAACAACCCUUAUGUUUAUUCUUAUGGUUGAUGAAGAAUAUCCAAAUGAUCUUCUCCGUAACCUUCAUAUUUCUUGUCUGUGAUAGGAACAAAAAAACCUGAGGAAAAACACACAUGCUGAUGAUGUGCAAAGUCCAUACAGCAAGUGGGAGAGAUGAACCAGCAAACUGGCCAGGACACUGUGACCGACCAAUCCACUACAAUGGACAAAUUAAAAGUAAGGUGCAAACAUUUUUUCUCUCUUUGUUUUUGGACUAUGACGGAUGAAGCUGUUUUCUACUAUCACAUUGUUGAAAGGUUAAUUAAAAAGCAAAAAACGUUACGUUUUAAGAUAGCAAAACAAGGUCACGGGCUAACACGAGCUUCUAAUUACCUUACACUCUUGUCAGAUUCCACCUGUGUUUUUUUUUAAUCCCAUCUCACCACUGUUUUAUACCGAGUUCCUUUUAAGUUGCAAACAUUUGU